rnacentral:rRNA from 1 species
GACGAACGCUGGCGGCGUGCUUAACACAUGCAAGUCGAACGGAAAGGCCCUGCUUUUGUGGGGUGCUCGAGUGGCGAACGGGUGAGUAACACGUGAGUAACCUGCCCUUGACUUUGGGAUAACUUCAGGAAACUGGGGCUAAUACCGGAUAGGAGCUCCUGCUGCAUGGUGGGGGUUGGAAAGUUUCGGCGGGUGGGGAUGGACUGGCGGCUUAUCAGCUUGUUGGUGGGGUAGUGGCUUACCAAGGCUUUGACGGGUAGCCGGCCUGAGAGGGUGACCGGCCACAUUGGGACUGAGAUACGGCCCAGACUCCUACGGGAGGCAGCAGUGGGGAAUAUUGCACAAUGGGCGGAAGCCUGAUGCAGCAACGCCGCGUGCGGGAUGACGGCCUUCGGGUUGUAAACCGCUUUCGCCUGUGACGAAGCGGGAGUGACGGUAAUGGGUAAAGAAGCACCGGCUAACUACGUG